rnacentral:rRNA from 1 species
GAUGAACGCUAGCUACAGGCUUAACACAUGCAAGUCGAGGGGAAACGAUAUUGGAAGCUUGCUUCCGAUAGGCGUCGACCGGCGCACGGGUGAGUAACGCGUAUCCAACCUGCCCAUCACUUGGGGAUAACCUUGCGAAAGUAAGACUAAUACCCAAUGACGUCUCUAGAAGACAUCUGAAGGAGAUUAAAGAUUUAUCGGUGAUGGAUGGGGAUGCGUCUGAUUAGCUUGUUGGCGGGGUAACGGCCCACCAAGGCGACGAUCAGUAGGGGUUCUGAGAGGAAGGUCCCCCCACAUUGGAACUGAGACACGGUCCAAACUCCUACGGGAGGCAGCAGUGAGGAAUAUUGGUCAAAUGGGACGAGAGUCUGAACCAGCCAAGUAGCGUGCAGGAUGACGGCCCUAUGGGUUGUAAACUGCUUUUAUAAGGGAUAAAGUGAGUCUCGUGAGGCUUUUUGCAUGUACCUUAUGAAUAAGACCGGCUAAUUCCGUGCCAGCAG